rnacentral:rRNA from 1 species
UACGUAGGGGGCAAGCGUUGUCCGGAUUUAUUGGGCGUAAAGAGCGUGUAGGCGGCCUGACAGGUCUGCUGUGAAAACUCGAGGCUCAACCUCGAGAUGUCGGCGGAAACCGUCUGGCUAGAGUCCGGAAGAGGAGAGUGGAAUUCCUGGUGUAGCGGUGAAAUGCGCAGAUAUCAGGAGGAACACCGAUGGCGAAGGCAGGUCUCUGGGCAUUAACUGACGCUGAGGAGCGAAAGCAUGGGGAGCGAGCAGG